AACCGGAUUAGAUACCCUGGUAGUCCAUGCCGUAAACGAUGAGUGCUAAGUGUUGGAGGGUUUCCGCCCUUCAGUGCUGCAGCUAACGCAUUAAGCACUCCGCCUGGGGAGUACGACCGCAAGGUUGAAACUCAAAGGAAUUGACGGGGGCCCGCACAAGCGGUGGAGCAUGUGGUUUAAUUCGAUGCUACGCGAAGAACCUUACCAGGUCUUGACAUCUUCUGCUAACCUAAGAGAUUAGGCGUUCCCUUCGGGGACGGAAUGACAGGUGGUGCAUGGUUGUCGUCAGCUCGUGUCGUGAGAUGUUGGGUUAAGUCCCGCAACGAGCGCAACCCUUAUUGUCAGUUGCCAGCAUUUAGUUGGGCACUCUGGCGAGACUGCCGGUGACAAACCGGAGGAAGGUGGGGAUGACGUCAAAUCAUCAUGCCCCUUAUGACCUGGGCUACACACGUGCUACAAUGGACGGUACAACGAGUCGCGAAACCGCGAGGUCAAGCUAAUCUCUUAAAGCCGUUCUCAGUUCGGAUUGCAGGCUGCAACUCGCCUGCAUGAAGUUGGAAUCGCUAGUAAUCGUGGAUCAGCAUGCCACGGUGAAUACGUUCCCGGGCCUUGUACACACCGCCCGUCACACCAUGAGAGUUUGUAACACCCAAAGCCGGUGAGGUAACCUUCGGGAACCAGCCGUCUAAGGUGGGACAGAUGAUUAGGGUGAAGUCGUAACAAGGUAACC
rnacentral:rRNA from 1 species